AAUUGUUCAAUAUAAAUCCUCAUACAAGGAUUAAAAGUGGAGAGCAUCUCGAUGAGAUUAACAUCCAGAACUGCAAUAUUGCAGAAUCUCAACUACAAGUUGAUCUGAUGCACAUAAGAGUUGUAUGCUACCAUAGACUUCAAGUCAUGGAACCGGACGAGUGUCCAUUUCCUGUGCACUUCAAGCAUCAUCAUCACCCUAUAUUGAUCAUACUACUCCUCAAAAUAGCUCCAGAGUAUCAGAUACUCUAUUUUUAUAGAUCAUGGUGUAGUGAAGUGCAAUGCAACAUACUUUGCUGCCCUGAGCGGGUGUGGUUAUGUGGGAACUGAGAUCCCAGGCCCUCAAGUUAAUCUUUACAUCGACCAGAUUCGAUGAUUGAUACCAUCAACAACAAACUCAGCAAAAAAUUCUCUCUUGGAUGUCCAACAUAUCCUGCAUAAAAUCAUCAUGCAUAAUUAAUUUACCUUUUAGUAAAUUAAUUUUCAAGUAUCAUCAACAUAUAGCAACCAUCAAAUUGCCUAAUCAGAUAUGCUGAUAUACAAAUGUGCUUUAAAACACAGUAAUAUAUCAUAAAUUACUGCAAAACACAUCGGAAAACAAUGUAUAGCUAAAAGCUAAAAUCAAAAGGAAACCAUCGGUCGAAACCACAAAGCCCAAGUUUUUUUUCCUUUUCUUUUGUUACCAAUGAAACCGGACGCAUCCGGCGGCCGCGUCAUCGGCUUACUGUGCGUCCCACUUGGUAACCAGCGCCUUACCAUUGCCUCGUACCAACGCAGCACGCUACGUCACCGCACCUCGCCGGGUAGAACUGCCGUUACUUCAUUCGACGCCGUUGGCAGCCGCCGCCGAUGCGACCUGGAGAUCCAGGCCAGAAGGUCAUGCCCGCCGCCUCGCCUUGUGCGUGGACGGGCUGAGCGCCGGCCUCGGCCGUGCGCCAGUCGACUUCGCCCUCGCCGACUCCACGCUCCGAUGGAAUCGAUUUGCGUGAGUGUACAUACAUACGUACAAGAGAAACAAUCAGUCAUUAGAUUAAUGAUCGUAAUCACAAG
rnacentral:lncRNA from 1 species